UACAGAGGGGGCAAGCGUUGUUCGGAAUUACUGGGCGUAAAGGGCGCGUAGGCGGCCUUCUAAGUCGAACGUGAAAUCCCCGGGCUCAACCCGGGAACUGCGUCCGAUACUGGAAGGCUUGAAUCCGGGAGAGGGAUGUGGAAUUCCAGGUGUAGCGGUGAAAUGCGUAGAUAUCUGGAGGAACACCGGUGGCGAAGGCGACAUCCUGGACCGGUAUUGACGCUGAGGCGCGUAAGCCAGGGGAGCAAACGGG
rnacentral:rRNA from 1 species